CCUACGGGUGGCUGCAGUGGGGAAUCUUUCACAAUGGGGGGAACCCUGAUGCAGCAACGCCGCGUGAGUGAAGAAGUAUCUCGGUAUGUAAAGCUCUAUCAGCAGGGACGAAAAUGACGGUACCUGACUAAUAAGCACCGGCUAAAUACGUGCCAGCAGCCGCGGUAAUACGUAUGGUGCAAGCGUUAUCCGGCUUUACUGGGUGUAAAGGGCGCGCUGGCGGCGCUGCAAGUUAGAGGUGAAAGCCCGGGCCCCAACCCCGGGACUGCAUUUGAAACUGCCGGGCUAGAGUGUCGGAGAGGUAAGUGGAAUUCCUAGUGUAGCGGUGAAAUGCGUAGAUAUUAGGAGGAACACCAGUGGCGAAGGCGGCUUGCUGGACGAUCACUGACGCUGAGGCUCGAAAGCGUAGGGAGCAAACAGGAUUAGAUACCCGAGUAGUC
rnacentral:rRNA from 1 species